rnacentral:rRNA from 1 species
UACGUAGGGUCCGAGCGUUGUCCGGAAUUAUUGGGCGUAAAGAGCUCGUAGGCGGUUUGUCGCGUCUGCUGUGAAAACUCACGGCUCAACCGUGGGACUGCAGUCGAUACGGGCAGGCUAGAGUUCGGUAGGGGAGACUGGAAUUCCUGGUGUAGCGGUGAAAUGCGCAGAUAUCAGGAGGAACACCGGUGGCGAAGGCGGGUCUCUGGGCCGAUACUGACGCUGAGGAGCGAAAGCGUGGGGAGCGAACAGG